rnacentral:lncRNA from 1 species
UCACCCAUAAUGUUGUGUGCAUUGUAAUAUUUAGAGCAGAACUGUGCUCUUACCCUGCUAAUUGAACCUUCACACACUUGCUGCUCUUACUGGUGAAAUGUGCAAUUAAUGAAGAUUGACCAGCAAGCUGCUCUAAUUUGGGCAUUCAAACUUCCCACACUAAAAUGAUGACAGGUGUUUCAGUUUCAUUGUCCAACCCCUGUAUUGUCCAACAAAAGAACAUUUGUAGUGUCAUGUUGUACUGACUUUAUAUGAUUAGUUGUGGAUCACAAACAGCACAAAGACCACUAACACAACAAAGAUUGUUGAUGAUCAGUCCACAGAAUACAGUGAGAAGAGUUUUAUAUCCCUCAAGCCAACAGUUUAUAGCAUUAUAAAUAGUGAUCUUAGGCUGGUCUAGUGUAUGGCUGGUCCGGAAUGUUCCGUUCUAUUGGCAGAGCUUUCCUGUCAAUAUUAUUAAAGUUAUGCAUGGUAUUGAUUGCCUAUGUAGGCACUAGGUGCUUCUAAAGGUAAAUGAAUUCAUUAAUCAUUUUAAGACGAGCCUGGAUAGAUAUCAGGUACAAUAAGAAAACACUUUUUUCUACUUGUUUUUUACAACCAUAUAUACAUUUUUAUUCUCAUUUGAUAGUGUAUCAAAUGUAGCAUUUUAAUACACUGGUUAUUAUAGAAUACCCCUGUGUAUGCUGGUUUUCUGCAGAACGAAGUGGAGUCUCUAAUGCAUGAGAUGGCAGAUGAAGCUGGGUUGGAUCUGAACAUGGAGCUUCCUCAAGAACAGAUAGGCUCUAUUAGCACUAGCGUAGCAUCGGCUGAGCAGGUAAAGCACAACAUUUUCAUCACUAUUUUACUAUUUACCACACUUUUUACACUUUUCUUAUACAUUGUGUAAAAAAAAAAGACCAACUUAUAUGAUGAAGUAUUUGAUUACUUGAUUAAAUGAGUACAUAUUAUGUUACUUUAUUUUGACUAAACUUUGCUAAAAAUGCACUGAAAUCCAUUACUUAAUCAUUUGAGUAUAACCUAAUUACGUUAUAAGGUAUAUAUACAGUACUGUGCAAAAGUUUUAGGCACCAAAGCAAAUUACACUAAUCCAUUCAUCUCAGCAAAAUGAGUGUUUUUGCCUGAAUAAAAGCACUAUGUAUGAUUUAAACA